rnacentral:rRNA from 1 species
GAUGAACGCUGGCGGUAUGCCUAACACAUGCAAGUCGUACGAGAGUUUUUAACUCUAGUGGCGGACGGGUGAGUAACACGUGAGAAUUUGCCUUUAGGAGGGGACAACAAUCGGAAACGAAUGCUAAUACCCCAUAUGCUUUCGAGUGAAAUGGAUUUUAUCCGCCUAGAGAGAAGCUCGCGGCUGAUUAGCUUGUUGGUAAGGUAAGAGCUUACCAAGGCGACGAUCAGUAUCUGGUUUGAGAGGACGAUCAGACACACUGGAACUGAGACACGGUCCAGACUCCUACGGGAGGCAGCAGUGGGGAAUUUUCCGCAAUGGGCGAAAGCCUGACGGAGCAAUACCGCGUGAGGGAAGAAUGCCUAUGGGUUGUAAACCUCUUUUUUCAGGGAGGAAUCAAAUGACGUGUACCUGAAGAAUAAGC